rnacentral:ribozyme from 1 species
UAGCGUUCAGCGCAGUGCAAAAGUACAGAUGGGGAUCGUUUCCCCCUUUUUUAAGGGCGAGGUGUGAGCAAGCGUUUCGCAUAUUUUUGAAAGGUAAUAGCUAGGUAGAGGAGGGGAAAGGUACGACAAGAAGGGUCUUAUCCACUCCUGCG